GAGAGCACGCAAUAUGGCUGAAUUCAUAUGUUUUUUGCAAGACUGCAACUGCAACGUCUUGUCUUGAUUAUUUUGCAAAAUAUCCUGGAGGUGUAACCCCAGUACCUUGGGAAAAGGUAGAUUUGGUCAAGUGAUUUAGGACAACACUAGCAACAAUGGUUGACCUCUCUUGGGAUCAAUCUGCCUGCCAGCAAAACGUAAACAAGGCAAGUCAUCUAUUGUAUUUGUGGUCAGAAGAAUGGCUUGUCUUUAUCGUAAAGUGUCAUCAAAUGGACCAUCAAGUGCUGUACUGUAACAUUAGAAAAGCGACAUGUUGAUGCAGUUCUAGCUUUUCAAAUAUUUCUUAUAGAAUUGAAACUUCCACAAAAUAAUGGGAUACUACCAUUACUCUUAAAUGUUUUGAAGUUUUUACCUUCAAUAAAAUUUAACAAAGCUA